CAGGACCCUCCGUCGUCCCGGACAGGGAAGAAGGGUCAGCUUCCCUGGGACGCUGGGCUCGCGGUUGCCAUGGGCGCACAAGGCCUUAUGGUAAAUUAAACCUCAUAAAAAGUGCGAUCCUUCUGCUCCCAGAGCAAAAGUCAGUGGUGCAAGAGGAAAUUGGUAGUCAGAAGACAUGCUGGGCGAAGGGAUCAGAGGAGCCACAGAGUGAGGAAGGCUCGAACUCUUCACAGCGAGGGUGCUCCAGGAAGAGGACCUUGUAAGAAGUACUGGACCCUUGGAGAAAGUGCAGAGUUCUUAGCAAAAUCAUUAACUUGCUAAGUCAUCCUUUUACAAAACAGCACAAAUAAAUCUCCUCUACAUCC